rnacentral:rRNA from 1 species
UAUGAACGCUGGCGGCGUGCCUAAUACAUGCAAGUCGAGCGAACGGACGAGAGGCUUGCUUUUCUGAUGUUAGCGGCGGACGGGUGAGUAACACGUGGAUAACCUACCUAUAAGACUGGGAUAACUUCGGGAAACCGGAGCUAAUACCGGAUAAUAUUUUGAACCGCAUGGUUCAUAAGUGAAAGACGGUCUUGCUGUCACUUAUAGAUGGAUCCGCGCUGCAUUAGCUAGUUGGUAAGGUAACGGCUUACCAAGGCAACGAUGCAUAGCCGACCUGAGAGGGUGUCCGGCCAAACGGGACUUGAGCACGGGUCCAACCCCAACGGGGGGGCAGGAGUGGGGAAUCUUCGGAAAUGGGCAAAAGCCUGAGGGGAAACGCCCGGGUGGGUAUUGAAGUGUUCUGGACUGAAAACCCCUUUUAUUAGGAAAAAACAUUUGGGAAAGUAACGGUCACAAUUUGGCGGGACCUAAUCAGAAAAGCACCGGCAAAUACCGU